UAUCUAAACGGGGAAAUUCAAUACCGAACUUAACACUCGGUGUGCACUUUUCCCUUAGUAAGACGCCGUGAUCCAUUAGAAAUUGGUAGACGCCAGUCUAUAUUUGGUCAUCAAUGGGUCCGUACGAAGUUUAUUGGAACAAAUGGCGCGAUCUUUCAACGGUUGUGUGUAUUGUCUAGUAAGCGUGCGGGUGCUCGUAUAAUGACUGUCUGAUGGAUUUUAAAGAUCAUAUUAUGGAUGUCUUGUGCAUCCCUCGCCUCGCGGCGAGAAUGAAUAUGUAUCCGAUCAACGGUGGUUAAAUUUGGGAUACCUUUUGGACCCGUCUUGAAACACGGACCAAGGAGUCUAUCUAAUGUGCGAGUAAAUGGGUGCUGUAAACCUAUUUGCGUAAUAAACGUAACUAUAUUAUGGGAUUACGAGACGGCCAUUGGUCAUCUCUUCCAUCCCGGAGUACUUUUAUCAACAUAUGCGCAAGCAUAUGGAAAGUAUAUCAUGAGCAUAUUGGAUACGACCCGAAAGAUGGUGAACUAUGCCUGAUCAGGUCGAAGUCAGGGGAAACCCUGAUGGAGGACCGAAGCAGUUCUGACGUGCAAAUCGAUUGUCAGAAUUGGGCAUAGGGGCGAAAGACCAAUCGAACCAUCUA
rnacentral:rRNA from 1 species